rnacentral:rRNA from 1 species
UACGGAGGGUGCGAGCGUUGUUCGGAAUCACUGGGCGUAAAGCGCGUGUAGGCGGCCUCGUAAGUCUGGUGUGAAAGCCCGGGGCUCACCCCCGGAAGUGCAUUGGAAACUGCAAGGCUCGAGUACCGGAGAGGAGGGUGGAAUUCCUGGUGUAGCGGUGAAAUGCGUAGAUAUCAGGAGGAACACCGGUGGCGAAGGCGGCCCUCUGGACGGAUACUGACGCUGAGACGCGAAAGCGUGGGGAGCAAACGGG